GUUCUUUUUGCUGGACUCCUUUUUGCUCAAAGCAUUCUUCCAUGUGCCCUGGACCUCCUCCACCUUCAACUUUGCUGAGCUCUGUUGGCCCUGAUUCCUUGUGUCUCCAGACUGAACUCCAGCACCACCACCUGCUGUGUCUUGCUCAGAUGGACCUUGAACUGAUAAUCCCCUCUGCCUCAGCUUCCCAAGGAUCUGAGAUUACAGGAAUUGUCAGGACCACAUGCUUGCCAGGAAGGUGCUGUGCCGCUGAGCUAUAGUCUGAUCUUCAUCUUAUAGGCCCAUCACAUCCAAAAUCCUUCAGAGAUACUCCAAGUCUACAAAUCAGCUAAGUUGAUGAAGACAGAAAUCUGAUCUUAAGAGAGACGGAUUUGAAAGUUUCAAAGAAUGUUUUUAGGCAAAACACAUUAUAUCACCCAUUAAAAAAUACAACAGACUGGGGCUUGCCUGUGCCUUUCUAAAGUGGCCCAUCCUUUAAUCAAUAAA